AAUAAAAUACUAUGAAAGGAAAUUCAUUGGUCACCUGUGUGUGCUGGUGAGAUUUCAAGUGUCUGUUUUUAAGAAACUUGAGAAGGGCAUAGCUUUCUCUGAAGUAAGAACAGGACUUUGUUCAUCCAAAUGCUAUCACCAUGUUUCCCUUGAGACCUGCUGUAUCCUACAAUUUAAAUUUCUGCAAUACUACAUAUUCUAAACGGCAAAGUUUGAGCUUCAACUUGAAAUAGGAAAACUCAAAAUAAUGUGAUAAUAGGAUGGAUGUAUUUCCAGAAAGAGCUUGUGGGCAUUAAUCUUUAAAAUGUUAAUGGAAGAUUUCUAGUGAAGAGAAUAAACGGGUAAAGGAAGGAGCCUGGAUGUAGUGGUGUCCUUUGCUUGUCUUCCAUGUACUUUUAUAAGGUUUGUCAGAACAUGAAGAAAGUACAUUUUUGAUCACUGUCAUGUAGGAUGGCUGCAGUGAUUUCAGUAUGACCUUCAAGAUGAGGUUCUUAGUGUUUAAGAACCUGGAUGUUUCUAUUUCCAAAUCCCAAUACCAUCACAUUAAAAAGCAUUCAAGAGAAAGAAUGAUUUCUUGGACUUUAAGCUUGAAGUACCAGUGUUAUGGUGGAAGAGAACUGAUUCUUCCAUGUAGUCCUUCCCUUACCAUCCUUUUGGUACAUGUCUACCUACAGUUACACAUCGUAUACACAGAUUAAGUGUAAUACUUUUAAAGAUAUAUCCCAUUUGGGCUUACUGCUAAAUGCUUGUUACCUCUGCUUUCAAGUGCUUGAUGCCUUCUUGAAUUGUAUAUUUCGAUUCUAGAACUUUGUGGCAGUAAAAGCAUUAUCUUUGCAUAGGUGACCUUAAGUAGGAUUUUGGAAAGGGAAAGUUUAUACAAGACAGCAAGGGUUACUGGUACAAAAGGAUUUAUUAGUACCAUCCAGAGGUAGGCCUAGGAACAUUAGCAUGUUGAUCAACUCCCUCCAACACCUGAGACAUAGACACAGCCGUGUCCGGAUAAUAGACCACGGGAUGGAGUUUGUUUUUGAAGAUGUUGGCAGCAAGAAUCUAUGCCUAGGUCAUCUGACUUCCAUUCAACAUGUAGGAAACGGAUUUAAAAACAGGAUGUGGUACUUCCAGAUGAGCUAUCCUGGCACUAGAAAAAUUGCUAAGAGAAUAUGUCCCUGUGUGGUGUUAUUCAGUCCUUGUAAGAGGGGGACUUGAACAGAGGAUGAACAAGAGAAUAGAUAUUCCCGGUCUUUUAGUCUGUGCAUAUGAUUUCUCUACUUGUCUCUCUACUUGUCUGCCUCAUGCCCCAUGUGUGGCAGAGAAUGUUUUCCUAUUUGAAUUUAAAGGUUUUUUCCAUCAUUUGUCUUUCCUUGGAAACAGUUUUUGAUGUUUUUUCUUCCAAGCCUAUCACAUAGAUCCUACCCCUAAUAUAUUUUCCAUUGAACUGCCUGUAAUUGCACCUAUUAAGCAAUCAGAAUUUUCCAGUAACAAGUGGAAUUUGACUAAGGUCAAGUAGCCAGCAAGAGUAGAUACUUUAUCACAAAUGCCACGUGCUCCUUAAAGUUUUGGCAUUCCUAACAAUCACUGCCUAUCUUCUAAGUAUGUGUUAUCACUGCAAAUUGAGAUACAAUUCUGUAUGGUAUGCAGGAUCCCUGCCUUUCGGGAAACAUCAGUUUACCCACUGGUCAAAUGAUAAGCCUCAAGGCCUUUUUGUUAUUUGUAGGCCUUAGUAAUAGCAAAAAAAAACAGUAUCCUUUCUUUUAAAAACUUACGGAUUUUCUGCUGUGGUUUGAACAUUAUGCUCAUAAACUGGAUUAUAUUUUGCCCAUUUAUUUACUGUUUAAGGUGAUCUCAGUCUAUAUUGAUGCAUGCUAUCAAACUUUCUACGUUAGGUAAAUAGACUGACUUCCAAUGUUGAUAGUUUGUCAUUAAUGGUAUUGGAAUAAUGUUAUUUAAGGGGUGUUCAUAGCAAAACAGUUUUGUGGUCAUUGUGCGACUCCCUUUGUUGUUCAUGGUAAAUAUACAUGCUCUGGUCCUGGAUAGCUAGAGAUAUGGAGAGAUGAAGUAGGAUAAUUCAGAUGUGCCACUGUUUUUGGCUUCAGUGGACGUGAGGCAGAUGAACUGAGAAUUAGUGGUUUAUGCCUUAGAAAUUUCCAUAGAAACAAUAGGAAUCUUGAACUUGUAAGGCUAUAACUUUAGUCUCAUAUUAGUUGCAGUAAUGAUAUUACAAAGCAGUCUAGGAAAAGUAGUCUUAUACCAAAAAGCACAGGAUAUAUCAGUGUACUGUUCCUACAACAGUAUUCUCUAUGCUUCCUCAAGUGUGAGUGUGUGUGAUUCUGGUCUUUGAACCAAUUUUAUUAUUUAGAGCUUAUGACUAUGAUUUGGUAAAGAGUGUUGAUCUUAUUUACUACCAAUCCCGGUAAGGAUAGAGAAGAAUUAAUUUUAUGGGACUGAAAUGUGAGAUAGUCAAGCUUCGUACAGAAGGAAGGCUUUUUAAUUCCGGGCAUAUGGCAUCUGGAUUUCUGACAACUCCAUAAUUGGGACAGAAGAUCAGGCAUUCAGUGACCAAAGUUCAAGGGAAUGCUGUUUACAUGCUUCAAACUGGCUUUAAUGAAUGGUAACAGGGGUAUUUUUCUGGACAGAAUGCGUUUUCCUUUUUUUAAAUAAUUUAUUUAACUUUCUUUUACAUUCAUUGGUGUUUUAGGUAUCAGAUCCCCUGGAACAGGAGUUAUGGACAGGUGUAAGCUGCCAUGUGGGUGCUGGGAAUCAAAUCUUGUUCCUCUCAAAGAGCAGCCAGUGCUUUUAACCACCGAGCCAUGUCUCCAGCACCCACGUUUUCCUUUUUGUAAUUACCUAUUGUCGGGGGGGGGGGGGAGGAAAUCCACAAAUAUCUGGCUCAUUAGAAUUUUGAGUUUAGUUUUAGGCCCUGGCUUUGUCUGGGGAGGGAGUCUUUUAUUCCAUAUAUUUAUAUAUAAAGGAAAUAGGGUAUCGCUUUAUGUCUGGUUAUUUCUUGCUUGUGAACAGAGCAUUAUGCCAAAUUUUUUGUGCUCCUCACAAAUAAGCAUGAACCUGUGCACACACAUACAUAUGUCUGAUUCAAAUGAAAAUUUUGUUUCUCAUUUCAGUAUAUUUUAAGAUUUUCUGAUGUAAUGCUAAACAAAUAUUGUCUACUUAGUUCAGGAAGCUGUGUAUUUCUUUGAAAUACCUUUUAUAAAAAACAGACACGACAUACUCUUCUAUUUGUAGGGUUUUCUUUUUUCUUUUUUGUUGUGUUGUUGUCUAACUAUGUAGUCUAGUAUUUUGUACAGUUUAGGGAAACUGUGUCUCUAAUUUUGUUUUCAGUGGAUUUAUUGAGUGAGACAGAAGCAUAACACCAAACAUUCUAGGCAAAGAUGCACAACAGAGGCUGGGCAGUGGUAGUGCAUACCUCCAAUACAGAACUCAAGGCAGAGACAGGCAGAUCUCACCCUGGUCUACAGAGGGAGUUCCAGGAUAGACAGUGCUACACAGAAAUCCUAUUUUGAAGAAAACAAAAACAAGUAAACAAGAUCCCUAUGGCAAGGCCUUAAGCAGCCAGCUGGAAUUCCCAAUUGAUAGAGUGCUUGGCAGAGCAAUGUGUCCUCUUAAAUGGGGGUUUCAAGUAAAACAUCAAUCACUAAUAGCUUAGAUAAAAUAUUAUCAAACCAGGCAUUCAAACUACUGAGAAGUUUUAGACUAUCAGUUGUGUUCCCAGUCAGGUUUUUGUCCAUGGUUAACCUUUUCUUUUCCCCUGCAGACAGUCUUACAGGAUUUAAUACUAGCUGCUUUUAAGAGGCACAUAUGUUUUCUAAAUGGUAUGAAUGAGAAUCAGGCUUUAGACAUUGUAUAGAACUAUGGGAGCUACUAUUCAGCUCACAGAGAUGUCUAUUUUAUUUAAGACAUGUUGUCAGUGUCAAGCUUUAAGGAUAGAGAGCGUCUAUUUCAAGUUUAAUAAUCUGAACCCUCAACCAAAACUCAUUAAAAAUCACUUCAUUGGGUGGAAGAGUCUCUGGUUUCCUCCCACCGUCUCUGUCUGCCCCCCCCCCCACUCCUUCUGACCCCCCUGUCUCUCAGCUGUCUUUGCCAUGUGGAGCUUAAUAUGUUUCUCUAUAGUUUACUCAUUUAUUAGCGUUCAAGAAUAAUGCAAUUUUGUAUAUAUACUCUUACUGGGAAAAGAUGUACAAAGAUGAGAUUCAGAGGCAUACAAUGGAGAAAGAUUUUUCUGUCAAAAGCAUGGACAUGGACUUUGAAACAUUAGGCUAUAACUGUUGUUAAGAGCAGGGCUUUGGCUUGAAUGUUGUCGAAUUCCAUAAAAGGAUGCUUGUGAUGAUAGUUAAGGUCAAAAGUUGUGGUAGUUGAUAAAAGGACUAGCUAGAGGGUUCUUACUAGAAAAUUAGAGGAGAUAAGCAAGAAAAGUAAACUGAAAAAUAUACACCCCCUUCUUCAAACCCCUACUCUCGUUCAAUAGAUGAAUGUUUAGUUUGUUUUCAACAGAACGCGUUGAGCUGUUGGAAAGAGCCGUAUAACCAGCGUGGAAUCUCAGGGAGACAGUGAAAUGUUAUGUUCCUCAUCAUUCUCGUCCUGACCGCUCUGCUUUCACUGUCAGCUUUUUAUCCAGAUUUUUAUUUUUGUUUUAAGUAAAAUAUGGACGAUUUUCAAGGAAUAAAUUAAUUAGUCUUUUGUUGGCUCCAUUGCUUCGCUUAGAGUCUUAAAAAUGUCUAUUGCUUUUCUGUCAGACCACAAAUACGUAAAAUAAUUGAAAAUAGCCAGUGUUGACUGGCCUGGCAUGUUGUCAUAUGCAUAUAAUCCCAGCACUGGAGAUGCUUACAGAGGAAAAUUAAACUGACUUUGAGGCCAUUCUGGGUUUCAUACCAAGAGCCCUUCUCAAACAAACAAAAUUUCCUCAAACAUGUUUUCCACUUCAGAUGUAUGCUAUUGAUCUUUGUGAGCCGUGGGGAUAGUAGAUGCUCUUUUUACGAAGGCCUGUAUUAAUCAUGAACUUGGAGUGCUUCAGGGGAAGAUUUCAGAGUGGAAUCUCUGAGCUGUCUGGGGUUUAGGCCUUGGCAUUAGCUAGCCUGUUGUUCUUAGACUGCUUCCUGUUUUUUCCCAGUAGUUAGGACUGCUUAGACUAUAAGAGGUAUUAACCAGUCCAGAAAUAUGCUAAAAGGUAUGUCAGUUACAGUUACUAUGUUGACUAUGAAAAGUGAUAAAUACCACUAUAUGUUCUGAAUUGUCAGGAUGUUAGGAGAAAAACUGUUUUCAUUGAUAUGCUGGUAUGAAAUCACAUUUUUUUUCUUAUAGUACAUAUAGGAAACUAGAUGAAAUUUUCAUCCGUAUUCGGAUUAGUAAUAUAUUGCCUUUAUUCCAUAUUUUAAGUUGAAACCCGUUGAAUUUUGUUACACUUGUAUAAAGGCUGUUGUAUAACAACAGAAAAGAAUGUUUGGAAAUAUUCACAGCAUUUUUGAAACCUAACUUCAACCACUUAGUACAUAUGUUAUUUAAUGCCUAUUGUCCAACACGCCGAACCUUCGUACCAUCAUACUGUGUUUAAUUUUUAGUGUUUCCAUGAAAAUAUAUGUAAAUAUAUCAUAGGCAUUCUAAAUUAAAGCUUUAAUUGUUAGUUUUGGGGACACUCAACGCCUGAGAGAAAGGAACAACAGCACACAUUGGUGCUCAGGAGGACUUCAAGGAUCCAGCAGCAACCUGGAGUGGUGUUCCUCUGAAGAAAUCCUACUCGGAUGGAUAUAAUACAACCUGCUAAGUGUUCUAGCACUUAUCAGGUUGUAUUAUCAUUGUCCGUGUUUAAGGCUCUCGUCUAUCAGGGAAAGGACGGUGUCGUAUUCGUCUUUGUAUUCACGCUGCCUAAUCCGGUGCACAUUGUAGGCCUCAUUAAAUGUUUGUUGAAUGAAAAAAUAAAUCAUCAACAGACAUUCAUUGGGCGCCUGCAUUGUGAUCUCCAUGGGCUCAGCUUGUUCCUGCCAGCUGCCUACAGUGCUUACAGCGCGCAAGGUCUAUUCAACGUACUUACUGCUGAAUCCUGUCGUAGGAUGAGGACUGUUAUAGUGAUUGUACUUUACCUUUUCAUGACUAUGUUUUAUGCAAAGCAUUCUAUAGCCAUUUCUGAUCUAUGCUGAGGGUGUAAACGGGAGAAUAGAAACCCAAGUGCCUUAAAUGUCAUAUUUGAUAAUGUUUCCUAUGAAACAUUUCAUUUUUUAUAUGCGUGUAUUUUGGAAUUGGCUGCUUAUAGAUGUUGGAUUGCUGAUGUUGUUACUAUAAUUGCUACCAAUUACUCCCUAGGUUGGACCACAGUGAUCAUUGAGUCAAAGCUUCAUCCUUGCAUUCUGGUGUCUGCUAUUAUGAAAUGGAUCGGUGAAAUCAGCAUUGUGACUAAAGAGGCUGAAUGUUGGCAAUGGAAUCCAUGAUGCUCUCAGGAUGUAAUUGCAGGAGUAGCGCACAAAGAGGGUAUAGAGGAAGGUUGCCCAAAGAACAAAUGCUUGACAUUUUGGCAGAUACUGGACCAGCAAGCUCGUACCAAUGGGAGAAGACUGAUACUUGUGUCACUCAUCAAUGGGUCCAGUACUUGAAGGAAUAAGAGAAGCAACACCCAGUGGACAACAGUGUGGCAUAUUGGGUGAAGACCAUUGAAAAAACUACUUGGCUCUAUUGGACUGGGUUUUCUCUUUUUUCUUCUUGAAAAAUAACAUAGUUAAUACUUUGACUGAAGAACAUGCAUAAUUUUAUAAUCCUGGAAAUAACUGCUUAUAACAUCUGAGUCUGUUUACCAUUCAUUCUUUAGAAAACUAAUGUGUAAAAUAGACUUUUAUAACAGAGUAUACAUUUUACUGUAUAUUUUUAUUCUGGUGUUUUAUCUUAUCAUUUCAGAAUUCAAAAGUAUAUUUCUAUGUCAUGUUCUUUGAAUACAAUAUAAAGUCUACAUAGGAUAUGGACUUUACUGGAUUUAUUUAGAUACUGCCAUAUUACUCUACCUUUUGGGCCUGGUCAAUUUUUUUUAAAGCAUGUAUUAUUGUAAUCAUAUUUUCUUGAGAAUUAACUUCUACCAAGGAAUUCUUUUAUUUGAAGACUUCAUAAAGGUGCUUUUGAAUUAUUCACAUUACAGUUGCACAAAUCAUAAUCCUACCAGUAGUGAAUAAAUGUGAAUAUUUCUUUAAACCAUUAGAAUAUAAUCUUUUUGUAAGGUUUUAUCUAGUAACUACAUAAGUAAUGUGUCUUUUUUCAGAUGCUCUUGUCACUUUAGUAUUUGUUCUUAUUCACUGGGGAUUGUUGGUUUAUGGGAAGGAACUGUGUUACCCUGACUGGCCUUGUAUUGUGCAUUAGACCACACCCAGCAGUAGGGGUCUAUGCAAAUGAGUGAAAGUUCUUAUGGAGGCCGGAGGUUUUCUAUGCAACUGAAAUUACAAGCAAGUAUAAACUCCCUGAGAUGGGUGCUGGGAAUGCAAAUAAGGUCCAGUGUAAGAACACUAUGCCCUUCUAAUCACUAGGUGAUCCCUCUUGCACCCUGGGUACAGCUUUUGUGUGAUAAGCUAAGCAGGGGAGGGAGUUCUCUUUUUAGUUUUCAUGUAAGAUGAUUUUAAGAGCUCUUUCUCUGGAAAUUUUAGCCAUUAGGGUUUGGUCUCAAUUCCUUUGCUGCCCCUUUUAUUGCAUGUUCCCUCAUUCUGUUGAACUUUCAGAUUUUUCAUUCAAACUUGACAAAAAAAUUUUGUAAAUUAUAUUGUUGGGUAAUAUGUUCUCCCAGCUAUUUGCUUGUAUUUUGUGCUUUUAGCAGUCUUUUAAAGCUGAUAAUAGUUACCAAAUUUUUGGAAUCAUACAGCAUUGUUUGGUACAUUAUAUCGAAACCUUUGUGAACGGUUUCACCCAGGUGGUGUAUCUUAGAUUAUAUUUGUUUGUUUUGUUUUUCAAGAGUGGGUUUCUCUAUAUAUACCUGGUUGUCCUAGCUGGCCAAAAUCAUACCAAUAUAAAAUACUUGGAUUAAAGUAGACUCUAUUCUAUCAUUUUUGUGCCCUCUCUUUUCUUUUUAGAACGAAAUCCCCAAUUUUAAUCUCCUUUGUUCAUCCUUUUUGCUGACCAUCCACCUACCAUUAAAAGAUAACAAACAUCCAUAACCAAUAUUUGGGGAAUGUGGGUAUAAUUCGAAUUGUGGACUCUGGUAGUCUUUGGGAUACCCUGGAACUGUUAAGCAGAGAAACCUUGUCUCAGGAAAAAAAUAAUUAAGAUUACAUUGAGUUAACCUUUAGCUUUAAAGUCAAAAUCAAUAAAUAACGGCUUAUGGCCCAAAAAUC